UUCAAAUCGAAUCCGACAAAACCCGAGCCCGUACCUCAGGGUCGAAUAAAGAUCUGUUAGAUUUGAAUUCCGGCCCAACGGGCGAAGAAGAUCGAGCGAACGCACCUUGGUCUCCAGAAGCCCCGUCGAAGCUGUCGCCGCCGACGAGAGGGCCGCUUUCGCAGCUCCUCCUCCUCAUCUACGUGAUCUUUUCUUCGUUGCUGCUCUCGUCUUCUUUGGAGUAUGUCGCCGGAACCGGAGGCGACGCGAGCACCAGCAGGAGCUCCGGUGCGAGAUUGGAAUGGAAAUUCCUUACCAAGAGAAAUUUCUCCUCUUAGAUCCGUCUCCAUCGCCAGAUCCUCCUCAUGGUUACCGUCCCUUCUUGGAAUUCUGUUCACAUGAAUCAUUUUAUCGAAAGGGAAGCAGAGAGGGCUUUACCAAUGUGAAAUGUAAUUGGUUAGUUGGUUGUAGACAGGCAGUUAAGAUACAUCCUUGUGCUUUCUUUGGUCGGUCUCAGCAAUUCUGCUCCAACAGAGCAACGAGUUUGACUUAUGUUGGUCAGACUAAAACUUAUCUGGUAAGAAUAUUCUUAAUAGUCAUCUGCCCUUGCUUCUUUAGUAGUAGACGUUGAGAUAAACAAUUAAAAUUCAAUAGAUGAAAAUUCCUUUUAAAAUGGGAUGAAAGUUAUUUAUGUGGUUCUACCUUGAUAAGAAUAUAUGUGAGCAGAAAUGUAUGUUGUGAUUUCAUAACAGUGAACCUUAUGAGCAAAUUUCAUUUUAUUUUCUCUUUGGCAAGGGUUUCUUUUUUUUUUAAGAGUAAGCGACAAAGGUGGUAUUUGAGUCCAAGACCUUAGGAUAAACUAUCAAUGUCUUUACCAGCUAAGCUAGUCUUUGGCUAGGUUAAUGUCGAUAAGAAGAUUAGUAUUUAUAUUCUUUGGUAUCAGAGCUUGUCUACUUUUGGCCCCUCUUAUCAAAUUUAACAUGUUGCUUUUUGCCUAAACUGAGACUUCAUAGGAUCUCUGGCUCUUGAUGUCCUAAUACCUUCUUCUUUAAGCCUUUCCUCUUGAACAGUGUGUGUGAAUGUGCAUGCCUCGUGUGGCCAUGUGUAUGUGUCUAUGAAUGUAUGAUGUGCACUUGAUACCAUCCAUCUCCUAUUUUGCAAAUUGUUUCAAUAUGACAUGUGGUGAUUAAUGGUUGGUAAAUUUAUUAAGUGUGCAUCAUGUUAACAUUGCUUAAAUUAAUGAUAAUUUUAUCUCCAUGAAAUUACUGAUUCUCAUUGUUGCAACUGUGUGACUUCCUGUUCAUCAUUGUUUUCAAAUCGCUUAAACAUUACUUAAACAUUGAGGAAAUCUUCAAUUUUUGUCUUGUGGUUGAUCUUUUGGUUUCUAAUCGCGUGAAUGUUGUUUUGUUUGAGCGGCUCUUCCACGGUUCCCUAGUUGAACGAAUAUUUAGAAUACAUAUUCUUAGAGCUCUUGAUGAGGACACUUGGAUAUGACAAUCCAAUCCCCUAGGCUUGUUGUCUACUAUUGAUUUCUAUCGGUAUAUCAAAUCAGAUUCUAAGGAGGAGGUUUGGCAGGGCUAGAAGGCGAUAUGGCUCCUUCCUAUCUCCCCUAAAGUUAAAACUCUUUCUAUGGAAACUCUCCUGGAACCGAUUACCCAUCUCUGACCUCUUUGCACAUAUUCUACGCCACCAGCAAGAUAAUUGCUUUGUAUGUCACCUUUCGGUAGAUACCUCCCCACAUAUUCUCCUACAAUGUUCUUCAGCCCUCUCUUUUUGGAAUCUGCUCCAGGCCAAAUUGAAAUUUGUUUCAAGUUCUUUGACACAUGGGCUUAUCUUGGCUUCACGAGGGAGAUGGUCAUGACAAACAAAUCUCUAGAACGAUCUUAAGUCUCAUUUCCUAUUCUUUUUGUUGUCUUUGGCUCAAUAGGAAUGAGGUCAGAUUCCAUGACUGUCGUGCCAAACCUCCUACCAUAGUCUCCAGGGUGAUUGCCCUCACCAAUGAAAUCGCUGAAUCAUAUCCUUCGCCUGAGAAAACUAGGAAUAUAUGCACUAUGUAUCCUCAACCAGGUAAUGGGAUCUACGGCUACAUAUUACAAUGUGAGAAAUCUUUUACUUCACUUCGAAUUUUCUGCAGGAACCAGAUUUAUCUUCCUCUUUGCUGCAAACUCAUCGCUAGCUGUGGGCCGAUCGAAUCCCCUAAUGGCAGAGGCUCUCGUUGUCCUGGAGGCGCUGAAACACACAGAGGCACUGCAGUGGCACCACCCCUGGAUCCAAACUGACUCCCAAUCACUAAUAUCUAUUGUUAACAGUGCCAAGGAAAUCCCUUGGUUCCUUUCUGUCAUUAUUUCUGAUGUAACGUUAUUUAUGGCCAAACUUCACAUCAUUGCUCACAGUUUUAUCCCUAAGGCUCUCAACAGCAAAGUUCAUCA